GGUUCCGUAGCUUGGAGUUAAAAAGCGCCUGUCUAGCGAAUUGGAAGUCUUGGGUUCGAUUCCCACCGGAGCAC
rnacentral:tRNA from 1 species